CUAUUGAAAAAGUUGUUCCGAUAAAAUUGGAAUGAUACAGAGAAUAUUAGCAUGGCCCCUGCGCAAGGAUGCAAACACGCACAAAUCGUCUCU
rfam:Nicotiana attenuata strain TT chromosome 2, whole genome shotgun sequence.